UAAUUGUCUGUAGUUUUUCUUGCAGUGUGAAAAUCCAGCCUCUCUAAAACUUCACAUUCAAUUUCAAAAGAAAAACUCUCUCUCUCUCUCUCCCCCUCUCUCAAGAAACAACAAUCCUCUUUUAGUCGUUUAAACUCUCUAUUUGAAGUUUGAUUCAAAUUCUGUGUUCUACUUCUGAGGAAUGCUUGCAUAGGCUGCAGAACUGUAUAGAUGUCGCCUAUGAUAGUUUAGUUUUAUCACACCAGGUACCCUUUCUUCUGAAGAAUCUAUUGAGAGUUAUGGUGUGACAAAUAUAGAAUCAUCACAACCUAUUUAAAAUAGAUAGAUCAAUUGCUCGUUUGUUGUAUAUUUAUCGUUCUUAUGAGUCCUUACCUUUUCAAUUCACACAUUUCAUGCAUUCAAUCAGGUCAUUAAUUUUUGAAACGUGAAUGUUCCCUGAUUGCAUUAUUCUAUAGUAUAUUUCCUUUCCUCUCAGAAGCUUUGAAGGCCUUACAAAAUGCUGCCUUUCUCGAAGAACUUUAUGGUAUAAUAUUUGAGCAGUAGAAGGAUAUGGGCUUGCCAGGAAAGGAUCCAUCAACAGAUUUUAGAUAGACCAUUGGAUCCUUUGUUAAAUUCCUUGAUAUUGCUCUCACCAUUUUCCACCAUCAUUGCCUUGUUAUGCUUAUGAUGCUUGCAUUUUUCUAUGGGUGAUGGUUUUAUCGUUGGAGAAUUUGUUGUUAUUUCCUAGGACCAGUAGUAUAUCUUGUUCGUCUUGUUUUGCAACCUUAGCCAACUUAAACGUCUUUGUGGUUCCCUCAGUUUUCAAAGAAUGUUUUUCUAGCUGACAUGCGAACUUGGAUAUUAAUUUUUUAAUGGACUCAACUGUAUUUAUGUUUGGCUUAUUGAGAUUGCUCUAUGUCAUGGAAUUUAUAGUUUUACUUUUAGUAAAUUGACUAAAUUCAAUUAUCUCAGUCAUGAAUAUGCAAAUUUCAUGAUUAACCUUUCCACUCCAAUAUUCUGCUUGUUUUUUUAUGGUUAUGUAGGGGGAGAAACCUCUUCCCAUAAGCAUCUCUUGAUCUUUAUUCAUGGUAUCAGUUAUUAGUCCAAAACUUAUGCACCUUUUGUCUGCAAGUAUAUUAAUUGAUCUUUGGCAUUGAGACAAAAUCCAGAACCUUGGCAAAGGUUCAUGGGUAGAAGGUGUUGUGGAUUCUAAAGAUAGAGUGGGAAAAUUUAUACCUAUGAAGAUGUUAAUUGAUUCUAAUCAGACCAACCCUAUUGAGGAAGUUUCUGUAAAGAUUCUAACUGGACCAAGGCAUUUGAGACCUAUAGGAGGAUUAUGUUAUUGUACAAGUUGUAGAUGUUGUUAAAGAUUCUAAAGAUGGGGUGGAAAAAUUUAUACUUGUGAAGAAGCUAGUCAAUGCUAAUGGCCUAAGAUUGCUCUCGUGUUUCA